GAGCAAUUUAGACGUGGAAAUGAGACAGUUAAGAACAGAAGACGAUCUCAAAAUAUGCUAAAAGUGGUCAAAUUUGCACGUCAAAAAGAAAAAAAAGACAGCUUAAUAGAUGAUUUGCAAAUGAAAUGAAUUGUCCUCACGAAGAUCUGAAUUUCUAUAUGGAGAUUUGGUUUUCAUUUAUGUCUAUCGCAUCGAAAAAUUUAGUAAAAACUCGCCCAUCAAUAAAAGUCUAAAAUCAAGGUGAUGGUCAUUGUUUCCUUUCAUUAUAUGGACAUAUAUCAAUCAGAAUUGGUUGAAGAGAAACUAUGGGAAAUUCAGAAUUUGACAAGCUACGUUUGUGAAACGUUACAGACCUAAAAAAUGGACCAACUACUUUAUCUGUUUUUCAUAACAACGCGUCUAUUUUAAUUCAUGAUAUUUCGGAGAUAAUUUUUAAUUAUUUUCCUAAAAUCAAACAUUAAUGUAGAGAUAAACAACAACAAAACAGAGAUGAUGAAGGAGAAACGAUAAGAAUAUGGAACUUUUAUAGAAAA